GUUUCGGUGGUCAUAGCGUGAGGGAAACGCCCGGGUACAUUCCGAACCCGGAAGCUAAGCCUAACAGCGCCGAUGGUACUGCAUGGGGGACCCUGCGGGAGAGUCGGACGCCGCCGAACA
rnacentral:rRNA from 1 species